GCAUAGGUGAGGAUGGAUGGCAGUCUGUCCCCCUGUUCUUCUUAUAGUGUCCCAUGCCAGAGCAAACUGUGGCCCCAAACCAUUGCUAUCCUGCAUAUCCAUAUGCUGCAGGCACGGAAGUGGGUGACACAGAG
ensembl:snoRNA